GCUCGCGUAGCUCAGUUGGAUAGAGCGACGGUUUCCUAAACCGUAGGUCGCAGGUUCGAUCCCUGCCGCGGGCG
rnacentral:tRNA from 2 species